rfam:Genlisea aurea contig_5095, whole genome shotgun sequence.
UAGUCAUUGUGAUGUUGGCCCGACUCACUCAGGACGAGGAGUGUUUUUUUUUUCGAUUCCUCGGGGGGUUCUGAUUGAGCCGUGCCAAUAUCUUAAUGCUCGUU